AUGAGGCUGUGGGGUCUUCUCCUCUGCCUGGUGACAGCUCCCCAAGGUGUCCUGUCCGAGGUGCAGCUGCAGCAGUGGGGCCCAGGACUGGUGAAGCCCUCACAGACCCUCACCCUCACCUGUGCUGUCUAUGGUUCCUCCAUCACUAGUGGUUACUACUGCUGGAACUGGAUCCGCCAGCCCACAGGGAAGGGACUAGAGUGGAUGGGAAACAUAUGUAAUGAUGGGACCACUUACUACAGCCCAUCGCUCAAGAGCCGCAUCUCCAUCUCCAGAGACACGUCCAAGAACCAGUUCUCCCUGCAGUUGAGCUCUGUGACCACCGAGGACACAGCUGUGUAUUACUGUGCAAGAGACACAGGCUCACAGUUGGACGCCUGGGGCCAAGGGAUCUCUGUCACCGUCUCCGCAGGGAGCCCGUCUGCCCCGACUCUCUUCCCCCUGGUCUCCUGCGUGAGCCCCCUGUCUGAUGAGAACCCGGUGGCCCUGGGCUGCCUGGCCCGGGACUUCCUGCCCAGCUCCAUCAGCUUCUCCUGGAGCUACCAGAACAACAGCGAGGUCAGCGGCCGGAGCGUCCAGAGCUUCCCAGCCGUCCUGAGGGAGGGCAAGUACGCGGCCUCCUCCCAGGUGCUCCUGCCCCCCUCAAGCGUCCCCCAGGGGUCCAAAGAGCACCUGCUGUGCAGAGUCCAGCACCCCAACGGCGAAAAGGUUGUGCCAGUGCCAGUGCCUCCCACAGGGCCGACACCUAAACUGUCUCCCAACGUGAGCGUCUUCAUCCCCCCCCGAGACGCCUUCUCCGGCACUCCCCAGCGCACGUCCAGGCUCAUCUGCCAGGCCACAGACUUCAGACCCAAGCAGAUCUCCUUGUCCUGGUUUCGUGAGGGAAAGCGGGUGGUGUCUGGCAUCAGCGAAGGCCCGGUGGAGACUGUACAGUCCUCGCCCGUGACCUUCAGGACCUACAGCAUGCUGACCAUCACGGAGAGCGACUGGCUCAGCGAGAGAGUGUUCACCUGUGAGGUGGUGCACAACGAGAUGACCUUCCAGAAGAACGUGUCCUCUGUGUGCGGCCACAGUGAGUGCAGCCCCCGGGUCGACACCCACAUCAAGAUCUUCACCAUCCCCCCGUCCUUCGCUGACAUCUUCCUCACCAAGUCAGCCAAGCUUUCCUGCCUGGUCACAGACCUGACCACCUAUGACAGCCUGAGCAUCUCCUGGACCCGCCAGGACGGCGAGGUCCUGCAGACCCGCACCAACAUCUCUGAGAGCCACCCCAAUGGCACGUUCAGUGCCGUGGGUGAGACCUCUGUCUGUGUGGAGGACUGGGAGUCUGGAGAAGGGUUCACGUGCACGGUGACCCACACAGAUCUGCCCUCGCCGCUGAAGCGCAGCAUCUCCAGGCCCAAAGAGGUCGCCAAGCACAUGCCUUCCGUGUACGUGCUGCCACCAACGCGGGAACAGCUGAGCCUGCGGGAGUCCGCCUCCGUCACCUGCCUGGUGAAGGGCUUCUCGCCCGCGGACGUGUUCGUGCAGUGGCUGCAGAAGGGGCAGCCCAUGUCCUCCGACAAGUACGUGACCAGUGCCCCGGCGCCCGAGCCCCAGGCCCCCGGGUUAUACUUCGUGCACAGCAUCCUGACGGUGAGCGAGGAGGACUGGAACAGCGGGGAGACCUACACCUGCGUCGUGGGCCACGAGGCCCUGCCCCACAUGGUGACCGAGAGGACCGUGGACAAGUCCACCGAGGGCGAAGUGAGCGCCGAGGAAGAAGGCUUCGAGAACCUCAACACCAUGGCCUCCACCUUCAUUGUCCUCUUCCUCCUGGGCCUCUUCUACAGCACCACGGUCACCCUGUUCAAGGUGAAGUGACGGCCAGCCAAGGACGUGGGGGACCAGAGACGGAACAAGAGGGGAGCUGCCUUGGGGCCAGGGUCCCCGGCCCGCGUGGCUUAUCCACUUGUACUGAAAUCUUCCCCGUGUCCCUCUACAGCUUCAAGCUCUAAGAGACCGGCUUCUCCCGA